rnacentral:lncRNA from 1 species
GAGUCGGAUAUGAUCUUUUCUCUUGUUUACUUUUUAGGUGCCCGAUCCUGCAAAGGGCUUUCUGUGAGCCUGGAUUCUUACCCCCCAUGGGGAUUGCCACUGGAGUGCUGCAGAAAUGAGUGGGGGCCUUGUGUCCUCAAAUUCCAGUGCAACUGCAUCAAACACCAUGUUCCAGAGCAAAGUCAGCUCCUUUGAGGACAACCUUCUAGGAGGGAUUGCUAUGUAACAGCAGAGCAGAUUACAAAUUCCGGCCCGUUAUGAAAGGUAACAUCUGAACAGGUGAGUCUGUCUCCUGAUCCCACUUGGGACAAGCUGAAAUGCUACUGGAAUGUCUAUGAGGCUGACUGAGAACUCCAAGGUGGCAAUAACUGGGCACUUGGAACACUUCCCUCUUUCACCUUGACUUUCACUAGGACCCAUCACAGACUUCCCCCUCCCCCAUGCCUUCAGCUGCUAUUACUGGGCCACCCCCCUCCAGCUGCCCUUGCCCUGGAGUUUAGGGCAGGGAGGAAAGUUGCACACUCUGAGUCAGACACUCAGCUGCUGUAAAUCAGCUCUGCUCCUUUGAUUUUCAGGGCUGAUUUACAUUAGCUGGGGCUUUGGCACUGAAUCUGGAGCCUGGAGGUCAGGGACCCGCCCAAUCAAAUGGUUCUACUGGGGGAGUGCAGGGCAAGUUCUGGGAGCAAUCAUUGUGCCACACCUCUGCCUCCUUUCCUGUUAGGCCUGGUCUACGCUACGAGUUUAUCUCAAAUUUAGCAGCGUUAAACCGAAUUAACCCUGCACUCGUCCACACAACAAAGCCCUUUUACUUCGAUAUAAAUGGCUCUUACUAUUGAUAUCUGUACUCCUCCCUGACGAGGGGAGUAGCACUGAAAUCGGUAUUGCCAUUUCGAAUUAGGGUUAGUGUGGCCGCAAUUCGAUGGUAUUGGCCUCCGGGCACUAUCCCACAGUGCACCGUUGUGACCGCUCUGGAGAGCAAUCUGAACUCGGAUGCACCGGCCAGGUAGACGGGAAAAGCCCCGCGAACUUUUGAAUUUCGUUUCCUGUUUGCCCAGUGUGCAGCGCUGAUCAGGACGGGUGACCACUGAAGGGGAUGCUUGUGUUCAUUUUGGAUAAAAUGUGGUUUGCAGGGUGCUUACGCAUAGGGAAGCAGGCUGGGGCUCACCACCCUAGGAACGUUCUAGAGAAGGUGUGAGCUCAGCAUGUGGAAUGGAGAACUAUGACCAUGUGACAAACCAAUCCAUAUACGAAAGGUUAACUCUGAUUGGUUAGAGGUUCCUGUUUGUGUAACUUGUUAUGUAAGUGCCAUGUGCUAUAAAAUAGCAAGGGGCGCGGCUGCUUGCUGGAGGUACUUGGCCUGAUUUUUUGUAUCAGAGUCGAAUAAAGCCUUGUUGAACCAAAUCA